UGGGGAAUUUUGGACAAUGGGGGCAACCCUGAUCCAGCAAUGCCGCGUGAGUGAAGAAGGCCUUCGGGUUGUAAAGCUCUUUUGUUCGGGAAGAAAAGGCUUUCUCUAAUACAGGGGGCUGAUGACGGUACCGAAAGAAUAAGCACCGGCUAACUACGUGCCAGCAGCCGCGGUAAUACGUAGGGUGCGAGCGUUAAUCGGAAUUACUGGGCGUAAAGCGUGCGCAGGCGGUUAUGUAAGUCAGGUGUGAAAUCCCCGGGCUUAACCUGGGAAUGGCACUUGAGACUGGAUAGCUAGAGUGUGUCAGAGGGAGGCGGAAUUCCACGUGUAGCAGUGAAAUGCGUAGAGAUGUGGAGGAACACCGAUGGCGAAGGCAGCCUCCUGG
rnacentral:rRNA from 1 species